rnacentral:rRNA from 1 species
CAGCAGCCGCGGGAAUACGAAGGGGGCUAGCGUUGCUCGGAAUUACUGGGCGUAAAGGGCGCGUAGGCGGACAGUUCAGUCGGGGGUGAAAGCCCGGGGCUCAACCUCGGAAUUGCCUUCGAUACUGGCUGUCUUGAGUAUGAGAGAGGUGUGUGGAACUCCGAGUGUAGAGGUGAAAUUCGUAGAUAUUCGGAAGAACACCAGUGGCGAAGGCGACACACUGGCUCAUUACUGACGCUGAGGCGCGAAAGCGUGGGGAGCAAACAGGAUUAGAUACCCCGGUAGUCCCUGUCUCUUAUAC